UAUAAUAUAUAGAUCAAUAUUUUACAAUCAUUGAGCUAGGUGAUGUAAGUAAUUUCUCGAGUUAUUAGAGGUAAGAGUGUAAUUUCCGCCAAAGGCUUAAGUCACGUGAUAUUCCUCAGCCCGUCAGUAACAAAAGCAAAAUAUGGCAAUAAAUCCCUCGUUGUUGUACUAUAAGAGUUGAAACUCGCCGGUGAGAUUCUCCCUCUCUCCCGUCGGAGAGACGAAGAAGAUAACAUACAGAGAGAGGGAUGGGACAAGAAGGGAAUUGGGAGUGUAGUAGUUGCGGUGAUAAGAAUUAUGCAUUCAGAUUUUUCUGCAAUAGGUGUAAGAAGCCUCAUCUCCUUGUUGACAAUACAACUCCUCAUGAUUCAAAGUGGUUUCCUCGAAUUAGGAAUUAGAUCUGUACUGUGUUACCUCAACGAAGUACUUUUGGUGAAACGGAAGCUAAGUUUCUGCUCAAGGCUCAUGUAAUAAGCUACCUGCCAAGUAGUGAAAAGUGUAGACCAAUUAGUUCAUAAUCGAGUUGGACUCACUUGCACCCGUUAAUACAUGUAUAUACUUAAUUAUGGAUCAUAUAAUUAAAUGUGCACUCUCAAAUAUAUAAGUUGAGUUGUUGCAUUGGUCCAAUACUGUUCAUUGGGCUUCUUCGCAACUCACAAGCAUAGUAAGCUGAGUUCGAUUCUGAC